UCUAAGCAGCCUGGUCAAGAUGUGGUCCUU
rnacentral:piRNA from 1 species